GAUGAACGCUGGCGGCGCGCCUAAUACAUGCAAGUCGAGCGAACAGACGAGGAGCUUGCUCCUCUGACGUUAGCGGCGGACGGGUGAGUAACACGUGGAUAACCUACCUAUAAGACUGGGAUAACUUCGGGAAACCGGAGCUAAUACCGGAUAAUAUAUUGAACCGCAUGGUUCAAUAGUGAAAGACGGUUUUGCUGUCACUUAUAGAUGGAUCCGCGCCGCAUUAGCUAGUUGGUAAGGUAACGGCUUACCAAGGCAACGAUGCGUAGGCGACCUGAGAGAGUGAUCGGCCACACUGGAACUGAGACACGGUCCAGACUCCUACGGGAGGCAGCAGUAGGGAAUCUUCCGCAAUGGGCGAAAGCCUGACGGAGCAACGCCGCGUGAGUGAUGAAGGUCUUCGGAUCGUAAAACUCUGUUAUUAGGGAAGAACAACUGUGUAAGUAACUAUGCACGUCUUGACGGUACCUAAUCAGAAAGCAACGGCUAACUACGUG
rnacentral:rRNA from 1 species